UACGUAGGGUGCAAGCGUUGUCCGGAAUUAUUGGGCGUAAAGAGCUCGUAGGCGGUUUGUCGCGUCCGCUGUGAAAAUCCAGGGCUUAACCCUGGACCUGCAGUGGGUACGGGCAGACUGGAGUGCGGUAGGGGAGAUCGGAAUUCCUGGUGUAGCGGUGAAAUGCGCAGAUAUCAGGAGGAACACCGGUGGCGAAGGCGGGUCUCUGGGCAAUAACUGACGCUGAAGAGCGAAAGCGUGGGGAGCGAACAGG
rnacentral:rRNA from 1 species